rnacentral:rRNA from 1 species
UACAGAGGUCUUGAGCGUUGUUCGGAUUCAUUGGGCGUAAAGGGUGCGUAGGUGGCGAGGUAAGUCGGAUGUGAAAUCCCGGGGCUCAACCCCGGAACUGCAUUCGAUACUGCCCUGCUAGAGUACUGGAGAGGAGAUUGGAAUUUACGGUGUAGCAGUGAAAUGCGUAGAUAUCGUAAGGAAGACCAGUGGCGAAGGCGGAUCUCUGGACAGUUACUGACACUGAGGCACGAAGGCCAGGGGAGCAAACGGG